UAGGGAAUAUUGCACAAUGGGCGAAAGCCCGAUGCAGCAACGCCGCGUGGGCGAUGAAGGCCUUCGGGUCGUAAAGCCCUUUUUGAGGGGAUGAGGAAGGACAGUACCCUCAGAAUAAGCCUCGGCUAACUACGUGCCAGCAGCCGCGGUAAAACGUAGGAGGCGAGCGUUAUCCGGAUUUACUGGGCGUAAAGCGCGUGCAGGCGGAUUGGAGAGUUGGAUGUGAAAGCUCCCGGCUUAACUGGGAGAGGUCGUUCAAUACUUCCAGUCUUGAGUGCAGUAGAGGGAAGUGGAAUUCCGGGUGUAGUGGUGAAAUGCGUAGAUAUCCGGAGGAACACCAGUGGCGAAAGCGGCUUCCUGGACUGUAACUGACGCUCAGACGCGUAAGCUAGGGUAGCAAACG
rnacentral:rRNA from 1 species